CCCCCGGUCCCCGCCUCGCUCCCUGCGGGCUUCGCUUCAUUCCCUGGAGCUACAGAAGGUCCGAGCUCUGCCCAGCGCCGUUAUUGGGAUGACCAGGAGCAGCCAUGUGCCCUUGUGGCCAAGAAGGCCAGUGGCCUCCUGGGGUGCGUUAGAAAGGGGGUGGUUAGUCGGUCAAGGGAGGUUCUCCUGCCCCCCCGUUCUGCCCUGGUGAGGCCACAUCUGGAGUAUUGUGUCCAGUUCUGGGCCCUCACUUCCAGCAGGACAGGGAACUGCUUGAGAGAGUCCAGCACAGACCACCAAGGAAUCAGUGGGGUGAUGCAAACUUUAUAGUCCAAGUGAGGAAGCAGCACAUGAAGCUGAUAUGCUCUGCUGUGCCUCGGCUCACUGGGAAGCACUGGUCAAGAACUGUGGUUUGCAACCAGCUACACUAAUGAAGACUGUGGCCUCACCUGGCUCCGCACCAGCACCCGUGGAGAAUGUGACCCACGCACCCAGUAAAUGGUGUGGCAGCAGGACCAGCUCUUCCCCACUCCCUCCCAGCAGGAAGGCUGUAGGUCACAGGCUGCUGCUGCUCUUGAACCUGCUGGGACUGUCCAUGUGGAUUUUGCUGCUGUUUGCUGCUCGGGAAGUGUCUUGGCUUUGCAAAUGCUGGUUCAGAUGCAACUUUCAGCCCCAAAUCUGAAGCUGGUCGAGUCAUUCCCAGGACAGCAUGGACCCAAGUCAAGGGAAAUGUUGUGAUUCACACAGAGCUGUCUCCACCCUUGGCAGCAUCCCUGGAAUGGGCACAAGCACUGUUGCCUCUAGGCCAAACUAACAGUGUAGGGGGCUUGGCAAAACCUGGAUGAGCCACUGACUCAUCCAGAAAGUUUGUCUGUUGGUGGUGGGGCAGAGAAGGCAAAAAAAAACCCCUUCCAGUUGAUCAGAAAUGAAACAUUUCUUUUGGGUUAAAAUCAAGUAAAACCAUCAGGCUGCUCCAGACUCUGGUGCUGCUCUAAAACA